AUACGUAGGGGGCGAGCGUUGUCCGGAAUGAUUGGGCGUAAAGGGCGCGUAGGCGGCCCGGUAAGUCUGGAGUGAAAGUCCUGUUUUUAAGAUGGGAAUUGCUUUGGAUACUGUCGAGCUUGAGUGCAGGAGAGGUAAGUGGAAUUCCCAGUGUAGCGGUGAAAUGCGUAGAGAUUGGGAGGAACACCAGUGGCGAAGGCGACUUACUGGACUGUAACUGACGCUGAGGCGCGAAAGUGUGGGGAGCAAACAGGAUUAGAUACCCUGGUAGUCCACACUGUAAACGAUGAAUGCUAGGUGUAGGGGGUAUCGACCCCUUCUGUGCCGCAGUCAACACAAUAAGCAUUCCGCCUGGGGAGUACGGCCGCAAGGUUGAAACUCAAAUGAAUUGACGGGG
rnacentral:rRNA from 1 species